rnacentral:lncRNA from 1 species
UGAGAUCUAGUUCUUCUAAAGAGAUAAAACCAACAGAGCUGGAAGGCAAUUUUUCAAGUCUCCCACACUCAUUAAAGUUGAGACGUUUAAGAUUGGUUAAACUGUAGAUACUUGUUGGGACAUCCUUAAGUAGAUAGCAGCGUCUAAGGUUUAAAUCUUGAAGCCCAUUUAGAUUCCCAAUAGACGAAGGAAGCAUUUCGACAGCUGUGUAUUCCAAACAAAGAGACACCAAAUGUUCCAUUGGCAUCAAGAUUUCAGGGAAUAUGGAAAAUCCACUAACUUGAGGCUCAUCUCCUGAUCCACCACCUUUGGAAUGAUCAUCUUGUCUUGUUUCUUCUCCUACUUUUGGUCCCCUCGACAUGAACACAUGACCAAAUUUGAAUUUCUCAGCAUCUUCCGCAUACAAUGGGCAUAUACCACAGCUUUCCACCUUCUUAGGGGAAGCAGAAUCCACCGGGCAGAAGACAACAGAGGCCUCUCUGGCAAGUUUGUAAACAUCAGGGGAGCAGUGUUUUCCUACCUCUUCACUUCUAAAGGCCUCACUCCACACAAGCACGUGAUGUUGGCCGUCACAGCAGUCGUCGUUGCAGUCCUCUGGGAUAAUGUACUCAGAACUGAACAGUUCAUGGCUUUCACCCAUGAAUUUGACAAUGAAAUUAGCUCUUACCAUCCUAAAGUCAUACCACCGCACCUCUGAAACCCCAGAAAGAACAACAGAGAGAGCGAAACCAAAUAAACCUGUUCGAAACCAAUCUGGACAAAGCUCGAUGUCUAUUGAAGAUCCCUCAUUUUGAUAGCUGAACCAAUUUGGAGUUUCUUUUCCUGGACAUGCAAUGGUAAUCUGAGGCCAGGGAUUAGGAAGCCAGCGAUGGUCCUUUAAUGGCGCAACAGUUGCCAUUCGCAUAACUGUAAUCUGUGCUUCAUCCAUUAUGUUGCUCCUUGAAUUAUUAUUCAAUCUUGGGCAAUGAAGAAACAAUCUGAAACAAUAAUGAGGUUUAUCCCAACCUUGUGUGAGUGCUGUCCUUGAACUUGACACUUUCUUCAGCGACUUGCAGUUUGAAGCUUUAACAUUGCAUAGCACUGGGAGCUCUGGUAUAGAUUGAAGCCGCUUGCAGUAGUUUAAGUCGAGUAUAGACAACCGAGAAGCUUGUUUGAUGCUUGCUGGUAUUUCCAAUAUACCGCUGAAGCUGAGUUCUAGUUCUUUUAAAGAGAGAAAACCGACAGAGCUGGAAGGCAAUUUUUCAAGUCUCAAACACCGAUGAAAGUCGAGACAUUUAAGAUUGGUUAAACUGUAGAUACUUGUUGGGACAUCCUUAAGUAGAUAGCAGCAUCUAAGGUUUAAAUCUUGAAGCCCAUUUAGAUUCCCAAUAGACGAAGGAAGCAUUUCGACAGCUGUGUAUUCCAAACAAAGAGACACCAAAUGUUCCAUUGGCUUCAAGAUUUCAGGGAAUUUGGAAAAUCUAGAGCAAUUGCUGAGACGAAGGCUCACAAGAUAUUUCAACUCACAAAUUGAUGAGGGUAACUCUGUAACUGCUGUGUGGCUUAAACUUAAGGACUUCAAAUGUUCCAUUGACUUCAAGAUUUCAGGGAAU